rnacentral:rRNA from 1 species
AUCCUACGGGACGCAGCAGUGGGGAAUAUUGCACAAUGGGGGAAACCCUGAUGCAGCGACGCCGCGUGAGUGAAGAAGUAUUUUGGUAUGUAAAGCUCUAUCAGCAGGGAAGAUAAUGACGGUACCUGACUAAGAAGCUCCGGCUAAAUACGCGCCAGCAGCCGCGGUAAUACGUAUGGAGCAAGCGUUAUCCGGAUUUACUGGGUGUAAAGGGAGCGCAGACGGCAAGGCAAGUCUGAUGUGAAAGUCCGAGUCUCAACCUCGGGACUGCAUUGGAAACUGUCUGGCCAGAGUGCAGGAUAGGG